rnacentral:misc_RNA from 1 species
GAUGAAGAACGUAGCGAAAUGCGAUAAUUAAUGUGAAUUGCAGAAUUCCGUGAAUCAUCGAGUCUUUGAACGCACAUUGCGCCUCAUGGCAUUCCGUGAGGCAUGCCCAUCUCAGCGUUAGAAAAUAUUCUCAAAUUUUAGUUUUGUGCUAAAAUUUGGAUCAUGUCAAAGAAGCUAUUACUAUUAUUGUGAUCGCUCUUUGGAAAUUGAUAGGUCUUUGAGUUGCUACUCAUAGAACGUGAUGAAUCUUUCUUCGUUCUAUUGUAAUUCACUCUGGUAGUCCUAAAACUUGUAUGCCUGUGGCAUAUCUUGUAAUUUGACCUGAGAUUGGGUAGGGAUACCCGCUGAACUUAAGCAUAUCAUAAGCGGAGGA